UCUACAGAAGCGGAAUCGA
rnacentral:sRNA from 1 species